UACGUAGGGCGCAAGCGUUAUCCCGAAUUAUUGGGCGUAAAGAGCUCGUAGGCGGUUUGUCGCGUCUGCCGUGAAAGUCCGGGGCUCAACUCCGGAUCUGCGGUGGGUACGGGCAGACUAGAGUGAUGUAGGGGAGGCUGGAAUUCCUGGUGUAGCGGUGAAAUGCGCAGAUAUCAGGAGGAACACCGAUGGCGAAGGCAGGUCUCUGGGCAUUAACUGACGCUGAGGAGCGAAAGCAUGGGGAGCGAACAGG
rnacentral:rRNA from 1 species